rnacentral:rRNA from 1 species
GUGAGGGAAAGGUGAAAAGAACCCCGAGAGGGGAGUGAAAUAGAAUCUGAAACCUAGUGUUUACAAGCAGCGAAAGUGGCAUACGCCACGAUCGUGUACUUUUUGUAGAACGGGCCAGCGAGUUACGAUUACUAGCAAGGUUAAGCAUUACAGAUGCGGAGCCGAAGCGAAAGCGAGUCUAAAUAGGGCGAAAGUUAGUGGUUGUAGACCCGAAACCGUGUGAUCUAUCCAUGAGCAGAGUGAAGUUGAAGUAAAAUUCAAUGGAGGCUCGAACCGGGUAACGUUUAAAAGUUAUCGGAUGACUUGUGGAUAGGGGUGAAAAGCCAAACGAACACGGAGAUAGCUGGUUCUCCUCGAAAUAGCUUUAGGGCUAGCCUCUAGUAAGACAUGAAAAGGGGGUAGAGCACUGAUUGGUUGCGGGGCAUGCAUAUGUUACCAAAACCUAUCAAACUCCGAAUACCAUAUCAUGCACUAGGGAGUCAGACUAUGUGGGAUGAGCUUCAUAGUCGAAAGGGAAAGAGCCCAGACCAUCAGCUAAGGUCCCAAAAUUAUAGUUAAGUGGGAAAGGAUGUGGAGUUACUGAGACAACUAGGAUGUUGGCUUAGAAGCAGCCACUCAUUUAAAGAGUGCGUAAUAGCUCACUAGUCAAGUGACUCUGCGCCGAAGAUAACCGGGGCUAAACUAUAUACCGAAGCUAUGGAACGUUAAACGUUGGUAGAGGAGCAAUGUAUGAAGGACGAAGCAUAAGUCGUAAGGCAGUGUGGACAUCAUACAAGAGAGAAUGCUGGCAUGAGUAGCGAGAGGUGAGUGAGAAUCUCACCCGUCGAAAACCCAAGGAUUCCUGAGCAAGGCUCGUCCACUCAGGGUAAGUCGGGACCUAAGGCGAGGCUGAAAAGCGUAGUCGAUGGACAACAGGUUGAAAUUCCUGUACCGAUACAAUCGUUAAAGGAAGUGGGGACGCAGGAGGAUAAUAAGAGCGCCCAGUUGGUGAGGCGUGCAAGCGCAAAGUCUGGAGAGUAGGCAAAUCCGCUCUCCGAAAAGGAUGAAGCGUAAUGCGGAUCGAAAACAAGUAGAGAAGCUUAUGACUCCACACUGCCAAGAAAAGCCACUACAAGAGAAGUAUCGCCCGUACCGUAAACCGACACAGGUAGGUGAGGAGAGAAUCCUAAGACGAGCGGAAAAACCUUUGUUAAGGAACUCGGCAAAAUGACCCCGUAACUUCGGGAGAAGGGGAGCCCCUGUAACAGGGGGCCGCAGUGAAAAGGCCCAAGCGACUGUUUACCAAAAACACAAGUUUCUGCUAAGUCGAAAGACGAAGUAUAGGAGCUGACACCUGCCCGGUGCUGGAAGGUUAAGGGAAAAAGUUAGCGCAAGCGAAGCUUAGAACUGAAGCCCCAGUAAACGGCGGCCGUAACUAUAACGGUCCUAAGGUAGCGAAAUUCCUUGUCGGGUAAGUUCCGACCCGCACGAAAGGUGUAACGAUUUGGGCACUGUCUCAACAAAGGAUCCGGUGAAAUUGUAGUAGCGGUAAAGAUGCCGCUUACCCACGACAGGACGGAAAGACCCCGUGGAGCUUUACUGUAGGCUGAGAUUGAAUUUUGGGAUUAAAUGUACAGAAUAGGUGGGAGGCUAAGAAUUAGGUACGCCAGUAUCUAAGGAGCCACCGUUGGGAUACCACUCUUUUAAUGCUAGAAUUCUAACCUAACCCCAUGAAUCUGGGGAAGGGACACUCUCAGUUGGACAGUUUGACUGGGGCGGUCGCCUCCGAAAGAGUAACGGAGGCGUUCAAAGGUUCCCUCAGCACGGAUGGAAAUCGUGCGUAGAGUAUAAAGGCAGAAGGGAGCUUAACUGCGAGACCAACAAGUCGAGCAGAUGCGAAAGCAGGACUUAGUGAUCCGGUGGUACCGAGUGGAAGGGCCAUCGC